GCCGGUGUAGCUCAGUGGUAGAGCAACGCUCUCGUAAAGCGUAGGUCGUCGGUCCAAUUCCGACCACCGGCU
rnacentral:tRNA from 1 species